UAUAUUUAUAUAUUUACUUAUUUGUGGGAUUGAUCUAAACAUAUGCUUUUAUAUAUUUGUUAAUUAGAUCAAUACAAGUGUUCCGAAGUCAACGGGACGCACAGGUAUCCCGGACUAAAUCAAACAACAUUACUUGGAUCCAAGUGCAGUGUCCGCAACAGCGAAACAGUUACGAUUGCGGAUACUUUGUUUUGAGGUUUAUGAAAGAAAUCCUUCAGGCGAAUCAAUUAGAGAUUCCGCUCACGUACCUUGACGAAUUCCGUG